GAUGAACGCUGGCGGCGUGCCUAACACAUGCAAGUCUAGCUGACAUUGGAUGAGCUUGCUCCUCUGACGUGGGCGACGGAUGGGUGAGUAACACGUGGAUUGCCUACCUAUUAGACUGGGAUAUCUUCAGGAAACGGGAGCUAAUACCGGAUAAAAUAUUGAACCGCCUGGUUCAAUAAUGAAAGACGGUUUUGCUGUCAAUUAUUGAUGGAUCCUCGCCGCAUUAACUAGUUGGUAGGGUAACGGCUUACCAUGGCGACCAUGCCUGACCGACCGGACAGGGUGAUCGGCCCCGCUGGAACUGACACACGCCCCAGACUCCUACCGGAGGCAACUAUUGGGAAUCUUCCGCAAUGGCCGAACGCCUGACUGAGCGUCGCCGCGUGAGUGAUGAAGGUCUUCGGAUCGUUUCACUCUGUUAUUAGGGAAGAACAAAUGUGUAAGUAACUAUGCACGUCUUGACGGUGCCUAAUCACACGGCCACGGCUAACUACGUGCCAUCAUCCGCGGUAAUACGUAGGUGGCAAGCGUUAUCCGGAAUUAUUGGGCGUAAAGCGCGCGUAGGCGGUUUUUUAAGUCUGAUGUGAAAGCCCACGGCUCAACCGUGGAGGGUCAUUGGAAACUGCUAAAACUUGAGUGCAGAAGAGGAAAGUGGAAUUCCAUGUGUGCCGGUGAAAUGCGCAGAUAUAUGGACGAACACCGGUGCCGAAGGCGACUUUCUGGUCUGUCACUGACGCUGAUGUGCGAAAGCGUGCGGAUCAAAAAGU
rnacentral:rRNA from 1 species